GAUGAACGCUAGCGGCAGGCCUAAUACAUGCAAGUCGAACGCUCAGUAGCAAUACUGGGAGUGGCGCACGGGUGCGUAACGCGUACACAAUCUACCUCUAAGCGGGGACACCUCCUGGAAACGGGGAUUAAUACCGCAUAAUAUGCCGAGGUCGCAUGACUUUGGUAUUAAAGCAGCAAUGCACUUAGAGAUGAGUGUGCGUCCCAUUAGGUAGUUGGUGAGGUAACGGCUCACCAAGCCUAUGAUGGGUAGCCGGUCUGAGAGGAUGGUCGGCCACACGGGCACUGAGACACGGGCCCGACUCCUACGGGAGGCUGCAGUAAGGAAUAUU
rnacentral:rRNA from 1 species